rnacentral:lncRNA from 1 species
GGAAACUCCACAAUUCUCUUUUAAUUAGAAAAAUGUUUGAUAAACCCAAAAUAAUUAAAACACCUAAUCAUGCUUCACACUUUGUCUUAUUACCCCACAGACCACAUGAGACAAGAGAAAGACCCCUCGAAACUUAUAUUCCAUUUGCUACAAUUGACCAUCUGGGGAAAGCAGACAAAGACCAAACUUCCAGAAACUUGGAGACAGGGAGAGCACAGAGGAUCUUCCGCUGCUCUCAUCGGGGGCAGGAGCCAAGCCUGGCAUUGUUGGAACUGGAGAGAGACGUGCUAGAGUGCAGAAUGUUCAUCGGGGUGAAUGGAAAGAUGUAGAAGAAAUGUGCUUACAAGGUCUGGACCUUAACCCUCUGAACCACCGCAGAACUCCACCACCCAUGUUUUAAACUGGGCUCUUUCCCAAGAUUUUACUGCUGUCCUGAGUGCACCCGCCAGCGGCAAGGGCACUGUCACCUUUCUUACACUCUGCCCCCUUCACCACAGCCAGUGUUAAGACUUCAUCAAGCAAGCCUGGGAUCAUUUCUCCCUGCCUAACCUGGAUGGAGACCAGGAUGCUGUGUCCUACUGUGGAAGACUGGUAUCGUGCCCAAGGGGGAUUGCUACACCAAAAUCAAGUAAGAGGUGUGUGUUUGUUGUGUGCCUUAGAAAGAAAGGUCUGGUGCUAGCACCGCCCAUGAACACGGUUCAACAUGAGUUCCUGAGUCCAGAGCCGAGAGCAGCUGUAAGUCUCCCCUCCUCCUUAGUCCAUCAUGGUCUUUGGGGAACAAAAGUGCCCAGACAUCUCUCCCUGUCGAUUAGCAAGCUGCUGUAUUUACCAAUAAACAUCUGCCUUCUAAAGGGAAAGCAUUUAUUCAACACACUGCUCUUCAGAGAUUUAUAGAUGCAGCUUGUCUUGCCAUUGCUCUAAAUCACGACCCCCUUCUUUGUCCUCCUCUAUUGCUCUUUUCUGAAGAUUUACUUUUUGAGGGGUUCCCAUUGUGGCUCAGUGGUAACAAACCCAACUAGUGUCCAUGAGGAUGCAGGUUUGAUCCCUGGCCUCACUCAGUGGGUUAGGGAUCCAGCAUUGCCCUGAUCUGCAGUGUAGGUCACAGACACAGUCAGAUCCCAAGUUGCUGUGGCUGUGGGUGCAGGCCAGAAGCGGCAGCUCUAAUUCGACCCCUAGCCUGGGAAUUUCCAUAUGUCACUGGUGCAGCCCUAAAAAGGAAAGAAAAAAAAAAAAA